AACGCGAAGAACCUUACCUGGGCUUGAACUACUCGUGGUAGUUCGCUGGAAACAGUGGACGACCCGCAAGGGAGCGAGCAGAGGUGCUGCAUGGUUGUCGUCAGCUCGUGUCGUGAGAUGUUGGGUUAAGUCCCGCAACGAGCGCAACCCCUAUCCAAUGUUGCUACUCCCCUUAAAAGGAAGCACUCGCAGGAGACCGCCAGCGAUAAGCUGGAGGAAGGUGGGGAUGAUGUCAAGUCAUCAUGGCCUUUAUGUCCAGGGCUACACACGUGCUACAAUGGACGGUACAAAGCGCUGCGAACCGCGAGGGAAGCUAAUCGCAAAAAACCGUUCUCAGUUCGGAUCGCAGGCUGCAACUCGCCUGCGUGAAGCUGGAAUCGCUAGUAAUGGUGUAUCAGAACGAUACCGUGAAUACGUUCCCGGGCCUUGUACACACCGGUACUA
rnacentral:rRNA from 1 species